ensembl:lncRNA
CAAAGUCCUGCCUUGUGUUCUCAAGGUCAGACAGGCAGCACAGUGUGGGGCUUCCAGCUCUUUGGGCGGCUAAGAAACAGCUCGCUCUGCACUGCUGUUUUACAGCCUACCGGGUACAUGUCUUACAAAGGCUUGUGAAAGGCAGUUUCUUCUCAGGCCUGAUCUCGCUGAAGUAGAACUUCUGCUCUGCCGUGUCCUACAUGGGCCUAGAGCUGAAAGGCCCAAAGUCCUGCCUUGUGUUCACAAGGGCAGACAGGCCCCACAGUGUGGGGCUUCCAGCUCUUUGGGAAUCUAAGAAACAACUCGCUCUGCACUGUUGUUUUACACCCUACCGGGAACAUGUCUUACAAAGGCCUGUGAAACGCAGUUUCUUCCCAGGCCUGAUCUCGCUGAAGUAGAACUUCUGCUCUGCCGUGUCCUACAUGGGCCUAGAGCUGCAAGGCUCAACGUCCUGCCAUGUUUCCACAAGGCGUGAGAACUCGCUCAGCGUCCAGCUUCCAGCUCUUAGGGCAGCUAAGAAACAACUCGCUCUGCACUGCUGUUUUACAGCCUAAUGGGAGCAUGUCUUACAAACACCUGUGAAACGCAGUUUCUUCCCAGGCCUGGUCUCGCUGAAGUAGAGCUUCUGCUCUGCCGUGACCUACGUUUGCCUAGAGCUGCAAGGCCCAAAGUCCUGCCUUGUGUUCUCAAGGGCAGACAGGCCACACAGUGUGGGGCUUCCAGCUCUUUGGGCACCUAAGAAACAACUCGCUCUGCACUGGUGUUUUACACCUUAUCAGGAACAUGUCUUACAAAGGCCUGUGAAACGCAGUUUCUUCCCAGGCCUGAUCUCUCUGAAGUAGAACUUCUGCUCUGCCGUGUCCUACAUGGGCCUAGAGCUGCAAGGAACAAAGUCCUGCCUUGUGUUCUCAAGCGCAGACAGGCCCCACAGUGUGGGGCUUCCAGUUCUUUGGGCAGCUAAGAAAUAACUCUCUCUGCAUACGGCUCUUUCAGCCUACCGGGAACAUGUCUUACAAAGGCCUGUGAAACGCACUUUCUUGCCAGGCCUGAUCUGGCUGAAGUAGAUCUUCUGCUCUGCCGUGUAAUAUAUGGCCCUAGAGCUGCAAGGAACAAAGUCCUGUCUUUUUCUCUCAAGAGCAGACAAGUGCCUCAGCCUCCAGCUUCCAGCUCUUUGGGCAGCUAAGAAACAACUCGCUCUGCAUAGGGCUCUUUCAGCCCACCAUGAACAUGUCUUACAAAGGCCUGUGAAGCGUAGUUUCUUCCCAGGCCUGAUCUGGCUAAAGUAGAACUUCUGCUCUGCUGUGUCCUACAUGGGCCUAGAGCUGCAAGGCCCAAAGUCCUGCCUUGUGUCCUCAAGGGCACACAGGCCCCACAGUGUGGGGCUUCCAGCUCUUUGGGCACCUAGGAAACAACUCGCUCGGCACUGGUGUUUUACAGCCUCGCGGGAACGUGUCUUACAAAGGCCUGUGAAACGCAAUUUCUUCCCAGGCCUGAUCUCCCUGAAGUAGAACUUCUGCUCUUCCGUGUCCUACAUGGGCCUAGAGCUGCAAGGAACAAAGUCCUGCCUUUUUCUCUCAAGGGCAGACAACUCCCGCAGCCUCCAGCUUACAGCUCUUUGGCAGCUAAGAAACAACUCGCUGUGCACAGGUGUUUUACAGCCUACCGGGAACAUGUCUUACAAAGGCCUGUGAAACGCAGUUUCUUCCCAGGCCUGAUCUCGCUGAAGUAGAACUUCUGCUCUGCCGUGUCCUACAUGGGCCUAGAGCUGCAAGGAACAAGGUCCUGCCUUGUUUCCACAAAGGGAGAGAACUCCCUCAGCGUCCAGCUUCCAGCUCUUUGGGCAGCUAAGAAACAACUCGCUCUGCACUGGUGUUUUACAGCCUACCGGGAACAUGUCUUAUAAAGGCCUGUGAAACGCAGUUUCUUCCCAGGCCUGAUCUCGCUGAAGUAGAACUUCUGCUCUGCCGUGUCCUAUAUGGCCCUAGAGCUGCAAGGAACAAAGUCCUGCCUUGUCUUCUCAAGGGCAGACAAGUUCCUCAGCGUCCAGGCUCCAGCUCGUUGGGCAGCUAAGAAACAACUCGCUUUGCACUGUUGUUUUACACCCUAACGGGAACAUGUCUUACAAAGGCCUGUGAAACGCAGUUUCUUCCCAGGCCUGAUCUCGCUGAAGUAGAACUUCGGCCCUUCCGUGGCCUACAUGGGGCUAGAGCUGCAAGGAACAAAGUCCUGCCUUAUGUUCUCAAGGGCAGACAGGCCCCACGGUGUGGGGCUUCCAGCUCUUUGGGCCCUUAGGAAACAUCUCGCUCUGCACUGGUGUUUUACAGCCUAGCGGGAACGUGUCUUACAAAGUCCUGUGAAACGCAGUUUCUUCCCAGGCCUGAUCUCGCUGAAGUAGAACUUCUGCUCUGCCAUGUCCUACAUGGGCAUACAGCUGCAAGGCACAAGGUCCUGCCUUGUUUCCACAAGGGGAGAGAACUCCCUCAGCGUCCAGCUUCCAGCUCUUUGGGCAGCUAAGAAACAACUAGCUCUGCAUAGGGCUCUUUUAGCCUACCGGGAACAUGUCUUACAAAGGCCUGUGAAACGCAGUUUCUUCCCAGGCCUGAUCUGGCUGAAGUAGAACUUCUGCUCUGGGUGUGCUCCAUUGGCCUAGAGUUGCCUGGCCCAAAGCUCUGCCUUGUUUGCAAAGGGGCAGAGAGGCCCCAAAGCAUCUUGCUUCCAGCUCUUUGGGAAGCUAAGAAACAACUCGCUCUGCACAGUGCUCUUACAGCCUACCGGGAACAUCUCUUGCAAUGGCCUGUGAAAUGCAGUUUCUUGGCAGGCCUGAUCUGGCUGAUGUCGAUCUUCUGCUGUGCCGUGUGCUACAUUGCCCUAGAGCUCCAAGGCACAAAGUCCUGCCUUGUUUGCUCAUGGGGAGAUAGGCCCCAAAGCAUCUUGCUUCCAGCUCUUUGGGAUUCUAAGAAACAACUCACUCUCCACAGUGCUCUUACAGCCUACCAGGAACAUCUCCUACAAAGGCCUGUGAAACGCAGUUUCUUUCCAGCCCUGAUCUUGCUGCGUUAAAACUUUUGCUCUGAGCCGCGUCUUGGCAGAUAUUCGAGGAGUCUUAUUUACUCUCCUUAUGGAUGAGGAAAAGUCAGCUGUUCUAUUAAAUGCUAGAGAAGAAGCAUAUUAUGAAUAUGACCCAAUAUCAGCCAUUGGCAGACUUAGUGAACAGCCUCUGCCAGAGACCGAUGCUGUGUGAAUCCCAGUGAUCCUGAUGAUCAUGAAGAGGAAGACAAGAAGAUGAAAAAGCAAGCCACCCUGUUUUGUGUGGCCCUUCAAGUCUGUUCAAGGUAACCUGAGGAAGAGAAGGAGUGAGUGACCUCAGCCUCCAACCAGUGACCAGAAAGCCACCAACAAAUUUUGGUGUGUGUACUGCAAACUGGAAGGGCAUUGGCAGCAGGACUGUCCCAACCAUCGCCUGAGAGUUAAGAGAUUGAACAGGGUCAAGCCACGGCAUCUUCUCUUGACCACGGAUGAGAUGUGACAGGGCCAUGUGGCUCCCCAGUUGGCUCUAGGGGUGACCUUGGCAGUAGGAGGAGAACAUGUUAAAAUUUUUGGUCAAUACUGGAGCCACAUUCUCGGUGCUGAAUACCAAAAAGAGAAACCUUUCAAAAAGUUAAAGAUGUAGCCUCAAAGGUGUAUCAGGCAAAGGGGAGACCAAAAGUUUUCUGGAGCCCCUUGACCUAUGAAACAGGAUAAAAAGUACUUAAGCGUUUCUUUCUGUAUGUACCAGAAUGCCUUGUUCCCCCUCUAGGGAGGGACAGGCUAUCUAAGCUAGGGGCCUCAAUAAGCUGGGGAAAAGAUAAAGUAGAGAUCCAAGAUCCCAAAAAUUUGGGAAUUGGGCUUAUGGCCCUAUUACAGGAUACACCAGCACCUGAGAAGGAAGAGAUUCCACUAAAUAUUUUAAGUUAAGCUAACUCAGAAUUAUAGGCACAAGGACAGGUGGAGUGAGCAGCCAGUGCCAUGUCAGUAAAGGUAAAACUGAAGCAGGCAGUUUGCUGGCCCCGGGUAAGACAAUACCCCCCCGAAGCCAGAAGCCAUAAAGAUGAAUCUUUCUUGUAAUCAAUACGUUUUUAGAACUGGGGAAUGUAGGUUUGUUCAAGACCGUAGUGCUGUCAAUGCUGUACAGUACUGGAUUUAUAAUAGUAAAUAUCCUUUUUGUUUCUGGCACAGAGAUCCAAAAACUCUUGUAAUUUCCCACAUAAGAGCCAUAGAGUCAUAUUUUGUUAUAAUAAUUACUUUAGUCCUCAGUUCCUGAAAUUACUCCAGAGCAAUAAAGGGGAAAGAGCUGUCUUUUGUUAUUCCUAACAAGACCCUUUCAACCACAUUGAAUUUAUGUUAAUAAGGUGACAUUUGGAAAGCCCCUAAGGGUGGAGGCUGGUGUGUGGGAAAAUAGGGAAAGCUAUUUUGUGAUUCAGGGUUGGGAUUUUCAGCCCCAUCCCCCUCUCCAUAGGUCCAGGAUGAGGAGAGGGCUGAAGAUUGAGUUCGAUUGUCAAAGGCCAAUGACGUAAUCAACUGUGCCUAUGUAGGGGGGUCUCCAUUAAUAUCCAAAGGGAUGGGCUUCAGAGAGCUUCUGGGUUGGUAAACACCCAGGGAGAUUUGGGGAGAGUGGCAUGCCCAGAGAGGGUCUGGGAGCUCCAUGUCCUUGCCCCACGUAUUUUAC